UGGGGAUCAGCAGAGUCAUCGCCGGCAUUUGGAAAGGAUGGAUUUCUUCCACAUCAUCACGGAGACAGGCAAUGGAUGGGGGAAUGUACCGGUAUAUGCCACCUCCUGCUCCCAAUUCCAUUUAUUCUUCCACUCGAAUCUCUAUUUGAUGGCAUCAUUUCGACAAUAUGCAAAUCUCAUUUCCCUCAGACGCAUUGCAGAGACCACAAGCUGCGGCUGAUAUCCAGAUGGCCAUUAAAACCAUUGCUCUGGUACCUUGCCCCACCUCCGACCAUCCUCCUGGUGGCACACCUCCUGGCUGAUCCACAUCCACAUCCACCUCCACUGCUCUGCCCAGCAAGACAACAAAUUACAAAAAUUAAGAGACCAUUUUUGUGGAUGAAAUGUAUGGGACCGGAGGGUCCGUCCAAUGGCGGUCCGCUACGCACGGCAGGCGACACAAGUGGCCAAGGUCCUGCACACUGGCAGAAUGAGAGAGGUGUGAACAUGGCUGGCCACCCCCUGCACCCAGUCACUCACCGACAGAGGGGAGGCGUGUGCAAAUUAAUGAAAUUAAAUCGUCUUCAUUUGAUGGCUUUCAGAGCAAAGAAGAGAGGUUCACUCCCUGCAGGUUCACUCACAGCAAAUUUCCCCUUGUAGGAUUGGGGAAUGGAGAGAAAUCGAGAGAAUGUGUGGGAGAUAGGAAGAAGCAAGGCGGAGAAAGUUGCCUUGAACUUACCUCGUAUUGAAAUUGAAUUAAAGAAAGAAAUGAUUAAUAGAAAUACAAGGUACGAAAAAAUGUUAAAAGAUAUAAAUGAAAGAACAUGUUAAGCGAAUAUGAGAUGGAAAAAGAUGAAGAGCAGAUGUACGGAAAGAACAGGCUUUACCAAAUGGAACCAUGGCAAAAAAAAACUGAUACGAGCGGCGCCCGAACAUUUCCACAUACUUUCUCUCUCUCGAAAAUACCCGAUAUAGUAGUCCUUACUUUUCAACUUCAAUCGAUUCGAGCUGUCAAGUGCUAGGUGGGGGUUUAAAUCAACAGAAUUCAGUCUUGUCGAUAAGUUCCCUCAGAAAACAUAGAAUCAAACGUACGGAACGUUUAAGUGAAACCGAAAGUGAAGUGAAAACUCAAUGACGGCCUGCGGAUUGUUCGGUCUCCCGCCCCGUAGCCAGGGCCCUCAAGACACCUGUCCUCAUCAGUUCCGCAUCAAAAUUGUUAACACUUCUUUAAUUUUUCUGUUUCCUGUAAAGAUGUUCUUUUGGAUUGAUUUUUUGGAGAGAUUUUAGAGAUUCUUGAGGGUUACACAUACGAUAUACUCAUCACAGACUCGACUCUUGGCUUAAAUUUCUUGGCUGAUAUCCAACGGUCUACGAAACAGUAAGGACGAUCACCACUUCUAAAAAUACUACUGCUACACUCGUCGCACUACAUAUGUACCUACAUAUACUCAUCAGAUGGACAUGUCUAUAGUCUACCAAAUGCAAGAUUUCUUGGGUGAAAACACUUGGGUUCUAGAACUGGAAUAAAACACAAUUACAGACUAUUUUUUCGAAACUGAAUACUGGAUAGUGGACUACGACAAUGGUCGGACAAAAUCGAUGCGGACUCGGAAAUGUACUUGGACCAUUCUUUGACACUUAUUUGGCUUUGAAAUGUGGAGUAGGCCCACUGGCACUACCAUGAUAGGAAAAAGCGGGUAGAACUCUACCUCUAUCGUGUUGUGGAAAAUAACUCAAUACGCUGUCAGACAUAACCACAUAUAUAAGUAAAUUAAACCAAAUAUCA
rnacentral:sRNA from 1 species